GGCAGAGCGAACGAAGGCACGCGGUGGAUGCCUCGGCCUGCAGGGCCGACGAAGGGCGCGGGCCAGCGGCGAAACGCCUCGGGGAGCGGCGGCCACGCGACGAUCCGAGGGUGCCCGAAUGGCGCAAGCCGGCCCGGCCAUGCCGGGCCGCCCCGGCCUGAAUGUAUAGGGUCUGGGGGGGGAACCGGGGGAACUGAAACAUCUCAGUACCCCGAGGAAGCGAGAGCAGGCCCGGAGUAGUGGCGAGCGAAACGGGCGGAGCCCAAACCCUGCACGCUGAGUGGCCUGCCGGCCUAUGCGUGCGGGGGGUUGGACGGCCAGCGUGGGGGCGCGGCAGCAGCCCCGGCCGAGUCGACAAACCAGGCCGCUACCCGAACGCCGCUGGAACGGGCGACCGCAGGGGGUGAGAGUCCCGUAGGGGGAAGCGGGCUGGCUCGGCGCUGGUGCGUGAGUACCGCGGCGCACGUGCAAUGCCGCGGGAAGCGGGGGCGACCACGCCCCAAGGCUAACUACCCUGCAGGACCGAUAGCGCAGAGUACCGCGAGGGAACGGUGAAAAGCACCCCGGCUGAGGGGAGUGAAAGAGUGCCUGAAACCGCGUGCCGACAAGCGGUCGGAGCUAUGCGUGGCAUAGUGACGGCGUGCUUUUUGUAGAACGAACCGGCGAGAGGCCCGGUGCGGCGAGGCUAAGGCAGUGACAGCCGGAGCCGCAGCGACAGCGCGUCUGAAGAGGGCGGGAGUCGCGCCGGGCAAGCCCGAAACCGGGUGAGCUACCCAUGGCCAGGCUGAAGCCGCUGUGAGAAGCGGUGGAGGGCCGUACCGGUGUCUGUUGCAAAAGGCUCGGAUGAGCUGUGGGUAGGGGUGAAAUGCCAAUCGAACCCGGAGAUAGCUGGUUCUCCCCGAAAUGCAUUUAGGUGCAGCCCCGGGGGAGGGCCGCUGGGGGUAGAGCACUGUUUCGGUUAGGGGGCCCCAAGCCUACCGUCCCGAGGCAACCUCCGAAUACCAGCGGGCCCGAUCCCCGGGAGUGAGACGGCGGGUGCGAAGAUUCGUCGUCGAGAGGGGAACAACCCAGACCGUCGGCUAAGGUCCCCCAGUGUGGGCUCAGUAGCAAAGGAGGUCGCGGCGCGUAGACAACCAGGAGGUUGGCUUAGAAGCAGCCACCCUUGAAAGAGUGCGUAAUAGCUCACUGGUCGAGUGUGCCGCGGCGCCGACAAUCCAACGGGGUUCAAGCCCACCACCGAAGCCACGGAAGCGUGCGUGCGGCGCACGCUUGGUAGGGGAGCGUUCCACUCAGCGGCGAAGUCGCCCGGUGACGGGCGGUGGAGCGGGUGGAAGUGCGAAUGCCGGUAUGAGUAGCGAGAGGGGGGUGGGAAUCCCCCCCACCGAAUGCCCGAGGGUUCCGCAGCACGGCUGAUCCGCUGCGGGUGAGUCGGACCUAAGCCGAGGGCGCGAGCCGUAGGCGAUGGCGAACGGGUCGAAAAUCCCGUACCGCCGCAUCCCGUUACGAGCGAGGCGGGGACGCAGAGAGGUAGGCCCAGCGCCGCGAGGCGUCGAAGCCGGUAGGGAGUCGCGGGCGGGAAAUCCCCCGCGGCGGUGACCGAGGGGCGAGGGCAAGGGCGGCCUACGGGCCGCACCGAGUGGGCCGAGCCUGUGCUGCCAAGAAAAGCCGCUAGCCAGGGGUGCGGCGACCGUACCGCAAACCGACACAGGUGGGCUGGUAGAGCAUACCAAGGUGGGCGAGUGAUCCUCCGUCAAGGAACUCGGCAAAUUGCCCCCGUAACUUCGGGAGAAGGGGGACCGCGCUAGCGUGAGGCCCCUGGCGGGCGGAGCGCGAGGCGGGCGCAGUGACCAGGCCCAGGCGACUGUUUACCACAAACACAGGUCUCCGCGAAGCCGCGAGGCGACGUAUGGGGGCUGACACCUGCCCAGUGCCGGAAGGUUAAGGGGAGCGGUGCGAGCUGCGAACCGAAGCCCCGGUAAACGGCGGCCGUAACUAUAACGGUCCUAAGGUAGCGAAAUUCCUUGUCGGGUAAGUUCCGACCCGCACGAAAGGUGUCACGAUCUGGGCGCUGUCUCGACGGAGGGCUCGGCGAAAUUGAAGUCUGCGUGAAGAUGCGCAGUCCCCAUGGCAGGACAAAAAGACCCCGUGGAGCUUUACUGCAGCUUGUCACUGAUCCGUGGUCGCGCGUGCGUAGGAUAGGUGGGAGCCGGGGAACUCGCCCUCGCGGGGGCGGGGGAGGCGCCGGUGAAAUACCACUCUCGCGCGGCUAUGGCUCUAACCCCGCGCCGUGAGCCGGGCGGGGGACCGUGGCUGGUGGGCAGUUUGACUGGGGCGGUCGCCUCCCAAAGAGUAACGGAGGCGCCCAAUGGUCCCUUCAGGCCGGAUGGUCAUCGGCCGUCGAGCGCAAGGGUAGAAGGGGGCUUGACUGCGAGGCGGACAGGCCGAGCAGGGGCGAAAGCCGGGCCUAGUGAUCCUACGGUGCCUGGUGGACGGGCCGUAGCGUAACGGAUAAAAGCUACCCCGGGGAUAACAGGCUGAUCCUACCCAAGAGUUCAUAUCGACGGUAGGGUUUGGCACCUCGAUGUCGGCUCGUCGCAUCCUGGGGCUGGAGAAGGUCCCAAGGGUUGGGCUGUUCGCCCAUGAAAGCGGCACGCGAGCUGGGUUCAGAACGUCGUGAGACAGU
rnacentral:rRNA from 1 species